GACGAACGCUGGCGGCGUGCUUAACACAUGCAAGUCGAACGGAAAGGCCCUGCUUUUGUGGGGUGCUCGAGUGGCGAACGGGUGAGUAACACGUGAGUAACCUGCCCUUGACUUUGGGAUAACUUCAGGAAACUGGGGCUAAUACCGGAUAGGAGCUCCUGCUGCAUGGUGGGGGUUGGAAAGUUUCGGCGGUUGGGAUGGAUUCGCGGCUUAUCAGCUUGUUGGUGGGGUAGUGGCUUACCAAGGCUUUGACGGGUAGCCGGCCUGAGAGGGUGACCGGCCACAUUGGGACUGAGAUACGGCCCAGACUCCUACGGGAGGCAGCAGUGGGGAAUAUUGCACAAUGGGCGGAAGCCUGAUGCAGCAACGCCGCGUGCGGGAUGACGGCCUUCGGGUUGUAAACCGCUUUCGCCUGUGACGAAGCGUGAGUGACGGUAAUGGGUAAAGAAGCACCGGCUAACUACGUG
rnacentral:rRNA from 1 species